rnacentral:tRNA from 1 species
AAAGACAGUAGUUAAACUCUCCUAUUAAGGA